CGGAGGAAAAGAAACCAACAGGGAUUGCCCUAGUAACGGCGAGUGAAGCGGCAACAGCUCAAAUUUGAAAUCUGGCCCUCGUGGUCCGAGUUGUAAUUUGUAGAGGAUGCUUUUGGUUAGGUGCCUUCCGAGUUCCCUGGAACGGGACGCCAUAGAGGGUGAGAGCCCCGUCUGGUUGGACACCGAGCCUCUGUAAAGCUCCUUCGACGAGUCGAGUAGUUUGGGAAUGCUGCUCUAAAUGGGAGGUAUAUGUCUUCUAAAGCUAAAUAUUGGCCAGAGACCGAUAGCGCACAAGUAGAGUGAUCGAAAGAUGAAAAGCACUUUGAAAAGAGGGUUAAAAAGUACGUGAAAUUGUUGAAAGGGAAGCGCUUGUGACCAGACUUGGGCCCGGUCAAUCAUCCAGGGUUCUCCCUGGUGCACUUUUCCGGCUCAGGCCAGCAUCAGUUUGUCGCGGGGGAUAAAGACGUUGGGAAUGUGGCUCCCCCGGGAGUGUUAUAGCCCUUCGUGCAAUACCCUGCUUCGGACUGAGGUUCGCGCAUCUGCAAGGAUGCUGGCGUAAUGGUCAUCAGCGACCCGUCUUGAAACACGGACCAAGGAGUCGUCUUCGUAUGCGAGUGUUCGGGUGUCAAACCCCUACGCGUAAUGAAAGUGAACGCAGGUGAGAGCUUCGGCGCAUCAUCGACCGAUCCUGAUGUUCUCGGAUGGAUUUGAGUAAGAGCAUACGGGGCCGGACCCGAAAGAAGGUGAACUAUGCCUGUAUAGGGUGAAGCCAGAGGAAACUCUGGUGGAGGCUCGCAGCGGUUCUGACGUGCAAAUCGAUCGUCAAAUAUGGGCAUGGGGGCGAAAGACUAAUCGAACCUUCUAGUAG
rnacentral:rRNA from 1 species